AACAGAGGGUGCAAACGUUGUUCGGAAUUACUGGGCGUAAAGCGCGUGUAGGCGGCUCUGCAAGUCGGGUGUGAAAUCCCAUGGCUCAACCAUGGAAGUGCACUCGAAACUGCAGGGCUAGAGUCCUGGAGAGGAAGGUGGAAUGCUUGGUGUAGAGGUGAAAUUCGUAGAUAUCAAGCGGAACACCGGUGGCGAAGGCGGCCUUCUGGACAGUGACUGACGCUGAGACGCGAAAGCGUGGGGAGCAAACAGG
rnacentral:rRNA from 1 species